AUUGAACGCUGGCGGCAGGCCUAACACAUGCAAGUCGAGCGCGAAAGUUCUUCGGAAUGAGUAAAGCGGCGGACGGGUGGGUAAUACAUGGGAAUCUGCCUGGUAGUGGGGGACAACGUUUCGAAAGGAACGCUAAUACCGCAUACGCCCUACGGGGGAAAGGGGGGGAUCGCAAGACCUCUCGCUAUCAGAUGAGCCCA
rnacentral:rRNA from 1 species